rnacentral:miRNA from 1 species
GAUAUUCGACGUCAUAAACACGAUCAACAUUGGUGUUUAUAACGUCGAUAUUCGACGUCAUAAACACGAUCAACUUUGGUGUUUAGGACGUCGAUAUUCGACGUCAUAAACACGAACAACUUUGGUGUUUAUGACGUCGAUAUUCGACGUCAUAAACACGAACAACUUGGGUGUUUAUGACGUCGAUAUUCGACGUCAUAAACACGAUCAACUUUGGUGUUUAUGACGUCGAUAUUC